rnacentral:rRNA from 1 species
UACGGGGGGAGCAAGCGUUGUUCGGAUUUACUGGGCGUAAAGGGCGUGUAGGCGGUCAGGUAAGUGGAAUGUGAAAUCCCUCGGCUCACCCGAGGACCUGCAUCCCAAACUGCCUGGCUUGAGUAUGGGAGAGGAUGAGGGAAUUCCUGGUGUAGCGGUGAAAUGCGUAGAUAUCAGGAGGAACACCGGUGGCGAAGGCGCUCAUCUGGCCCAAUACUGACGCUGAGGCGCGAAAGCUAGGGGAGCAAACGGG